rnacentral:tRNA from 1 species
GCGCCGGUGGUGUGAGUAUCGCUGCCCGGAAAGCAGAAGGUGCGAGUUCGAGUCCCGCCUGGCGCA